rnacentral:tRNA from 1 species
GCCUGGGUGGCUCAAUGGUUGAGCGUCUGCCUUCAGCUCAGGAGGUGAUCCCAGGGCA